rnacentral:lncRNA from 1 species
UCUCAAAUUCACAUCUUCUCUUAUUCUCUCAUUCUCUGCCUCCAGUGGUUUCUAUUUAGAGGUGGAUCAACCCAUUAGCAGUCUUGGACUCUGCUCCUUUUCUGCUUCUCAGAAACCCCUUUCAGUUUUCUACCAUUUGCAGCACACUUCAUGCAAUAAUUGGCAAAACUCUGUCAAUUUAAUUAGACUUCCUGACAAUUCCAGAACAUCUCCCCCCUUCAAAGCACUUGCUUUCCAAUAGCAACUGAAACAUAAAUCCUGAUGCUUUGACUUUCAUGUUUCUCUUGAAAUAAUAUUGUUAAUGACUUUUUGUAACCAUUGGAGGCCUUUGAAUAGAGUUUGAAUUAAAAUACUGGCAACAAAUAUCUGUGAGUCAUGUAAAAAAAGCUCAAAAUUAAAUGUUCAUUUUGCACAGAAGAACAUUUUCAUUAAUAUUUCUUUGCUUGAUGUAUCUGAUCUUGUCAUAAAGAGUUGUGCUAAGGGGA